rnacentral:lncRNA from 1 species
CUAGUAGAAGAAGCUGAACUCUUGGGUUUGGACUUGCUUGGUAACAAAGGAAGGCAAUGGCUGACUGGAUAGAAGUUGGAGAAGACACCAGGACUCCAUCAUAUUGGGGAGAGAGACAACUGAGAAACUGGUCCACAUGGACAGCUGAGGAAGCCAUCAUUGGCAGCGAAUUUUAGUGUUCCUGGAGACCCUGAGUAGUCAUAUAUACAUAUGUGUAUAUGUACAUGUAUAAUCCUGCUCAUUAAUAAAGC